GUCAAGUAACCAAGCCAAAGGAAGAGUAGGUGGCCAGCUGGGUCCUGGGACAGGACCUGGAACCCACCACGCCCCUUCUGCCUCUUGUCUCUUCGCUCUGAUGAUCAGCUUCAUUCCCCUGCAGACUGGCAUCGUCUAUGAAACGUGCAAAUGUGGCUGCCAGCAGCUGUCAUGUCUUCCUAGCUCCAUGGCUAAGAAGGUAGGCUCUUCCUUUCACGGCAAUUAAUGACCUCCUGGAUAGGAAAUCCAACUGGCUCAGUUCUGUGGCCAAUAAGUUGAAGUUGUAUGAUAGCUUGCCCUCACUGAAAGUAAAUAAAGGAAGAGCAGCUCUUCAUGAAGGAGGACAAUCACAGAUGUCUACAGAUGGACCUUGCCGUCCUGGGCCCUCCGGCCUCUGCGGUCCUCCAGGGAGCUGCCGCAGGGUGAGCAAACGGAGGGAUGGCCAAGGGGGAAGCAACAAAGGAGACAGAGUUGCCGAAGUCCUAGCAAAACUGGCUGGGAGAAGGGGUGCCUGGCUGGCUCAGCUGGUAGAGCACAGGACUCUUGAUCUCAGGGUUAUACGUCCGAGUUCCGCAUCAGGGGUAAGGUUUACUUAAAAGAAAACCAAAACGGCUCGGAGGUCAGAAUGAAACACUUCUUCACAUCUCAGGCCUUCAAGGUUCUGGGGAGCUCACACGGCCUGGGGGGGCUAAAGUCCUAUAAGGGAGAAGGCAAGAGGAUCAGUGAUAGCCCACAGUUGCAGAAACCGUUCUGGGGGUUCAAGUGCAAAUGUCAUCCUUCCAGAGGAGUGGGAUGCAACCACAAUAUGGCAGGAGGGCUGGAAACCGUAAGGGACCCUGCCCAGACUCAGCAUCUCCGCCCACGUAGCUCAGAGCCCACGCCGAUGGCCGGCCUGGGGAGUGCGCCACCUGGGUCUGCACGCUCCGGGUGUGCAAUUCCACGGACAUAAAUAACGCUGGCACGCCAUAUAAACAUCAGAUGAACAUGAAAGCCGCAGCAUCUGGGGAACUGUCACCAUCUGCCAGUCUGAGAGGAACACGGAAAGAAUCAGCAGGGUAGAAGCCGUAUGGGGUCUGGGUUUAAAACAACACUACUGGCAGCUGCUACCCGCCCUCGGCCGCUGAGAAUAGCAGCGGGUUCUUCCUGACGUGGCAGUUUACGGGCUCUCACAAAUCCUGGCUGACCCUGUCACAAAGGCUGAGGCCCACAUACCAAGCGGCUCCAAUGGCCACCGCUCACCAAGCACGUUUAUGAGACUUUGUUCCCUCUCCUCCGCAGCCUCACAAUGCAGGCACACACCAGGUCCCACAAACAGAGGAAGAGAGAGAGAAGGCUCCCGGCGGCGAGCUCAGCAGAAGUAUUCUCCUUGCGCCUGACUUCUUUGACUCAGUCCUCAUUUGAUCGUGUCCGCAGGGACCAGACUUCAACACGCGGCGCGAAGUGCUGGGCCAGGCGCCCCGGGAUGAGGUGCAACCCCAAAUCUGCUAGAGACCACCUCCCUCACGGCCACCGCGGGACAGAGGAAAAGCUCCCAGGUGGGCAGCCUUCCCUUGGAGACGGUCGAGUCCUACGUCCGUCACCCACUGAGAGAACUGCGGGACCAAGCGUGGCUAGAGCUGAGGAAGGUAUCCCUCUGUGCGGCUCUGGAGAGCCCCUCGUGUUACCCAGAGACAUCUUGGCAGUCCAUCCCAAAUGGCCCAUGUACCUUUUGGCAAACUCUACUGGUGAAUACAGUUCAAGCGGGGAACUAAUUUGCCGUAAAUAAUAACGACAAGCUGAUCAUAAUACUUAAGCAUUAAUCUGAACUUACUAUGUAUUAGGUGUUAUACAAAGUGCCUUACACGUAUUAUCAUAUGUAAUCCUCCCAAUAACUCUUGGAAAUAGAUAACGCUACACUCCUGCUUUACUGAGGAAGGAACCAGGGCUCACAGAAAGAAGGCAAGCCCAUCAUAGCGGUGGGAUACCCAGUGGGUCACUUCACAACUCGUGGCUGAAGUUUAUUCAUGCCUAAAAGCAGGAGAUUGGCCUUGGGUCAGUAUUUCCCAAAGUGUGGUGCAUGGACCAUUCUGAAGAGUCACGUGGGGUGCAAGCAAAAAUUGCAGGCUCCUGGCUCCACCCCAGAUCUACGAAAUCAGAAUUCCUGGGGGUAAGGCCCAGGAAUCUAUCUGUCUAACAAGAACCCCAGGUGAUUUUUAAGCAUAUUAAAGUCUGAGAAACCCAGGUAUAGGAUUCCAAAACCGUUGCCAGCUCUGUUACAAUGGCCCAUGGUUUCCCUUUGUUAGAGACUCUUCAAGAAUGCAAGCUUUUCUCUUUCCCUGGACCCAGAGUUAACCCCCAAGUAUCCUGAACAUCUUCUUUAGAUCAGCUUUACACAAGAUCUUGUUUCUUAUAUGACACAAGCAAAUUCUCCCUUCCCUAAAAUGUUUAAACCAUACCAAACAAAUUCCUCCCAUUUAUAAGGAAUGCAAGGACAAGAUGACAUGACCUUAGUUAAUUAAGUUAUUUUACAAAUAGAAGCCAAUAAACACAUGGAACUAGUUACUAAGAAAAGGGUCACCGGAUCAGAGAACACUGACAGUAAAUGAGAGGAGGGGAGGAAGCGAGAGGGAGACAGAGACAGAGACAGAGAGAGAGAGAGAUGGCUAAAUUUUAGAAACACAUGUGUGUGUGUGCACGUGCACGCACAGACACAUACACUCAGAUCAUACACACAAAGGAAAUCAGGUAAAAUUAGGCUGUGAGCAAAGAGUGUAAGAGCACACGGGCUUUAUUUUCACUGAGAACGAGUAGGUCGUCUCACCUUUGGCCAUGGUCUUGACUUUUUCUUCUAAUUGAUGGCCUUAUUUCCCCUCAAAAUGCCCCUCUUACCGCUCUGUCCUCAUUCUUAACUCUAAUUUGCCUUUUGGUCUGUUUGUUUUGUCCUUUCCUGCUGAAGUUGAGGUCAGGGCGACAAAAGAGCCUGCAUUCGGUGCACCUUGUAACUUCAUCAUCUUACUGCCUAGCAUGGAAUGAUGCAAAUCCCCCCAGCUGAAGCCUCAACCCUGACUACCAAGAUGGCCAAAUGCCUGCAUCAGCCAUGCGGCCACCAGGCCCAGGGGCUGCCUGCUGAUCCGUUUCCAUGGAGAUGCACAUCUGCUUUUCCCAUGCACCUCAGCCCACUUUGUGACACACACACACACACACACAUGCACGCACACACAGAGGCAGGCACACCGCCACCACAACAAAAGUCUGUUAUGUAUCAGUUAUGCAAAGCACAGUCCUAGGUGCAAUGAGGAAAACUACAAUGGAAAGACGCAUAAGAUGUGGCCCCAGCCUUCAAGCACCUUAGCACCCAUGGAGACUCGGAAUGCUCCAGAAAGCAGGUAUGGUAAGACUGUAGGAGUCAUAGCGCAUAGGCUGGUUACAAAGUGGCCUGAUAGAAGUGGGACCUGGGCUGGACUGUGGAGGAGAAGCUGAGGAGACUGGGCUGGACCCGUUGGGUAGAAGGAAUGACUGCAGUCUCCAUUCCUCCUUCUUUUGAUAACAGCACCCUAAUUUUCUUGAACUUUACCUUUAGCUCUUGUGAUUCAGGUGGGGCUGAACUUGAACUGAUGAAACCAAAGCACCUUAUCCAUCUGGUCACCAUGAGGGUUCAGAAUGGGUACACGAUCCAGAUCAGUCCAAUGAGACUUGAUCUGGAGACUUUGGCAGGAACCAUGGGUAAAGAGCAGCUCUCCUUUCCCCCUGGUGAUUUGCUCAGAGGAUAUAAUCCUGGAGCUACUGUCAGUCUUCUUGCUACUGCAUGGAGGGGGUGACCUGGGAGUGAAACCAACAUGGAGGAAAGCAGAACCAAGAUACAGACAGAGUCCUGAGGACAAAGACUGAGGAAAUCAGCUCGAUCUCUGGACUCUUUGCUUGAGGAAAACUGAUUUUGUUUUUGUUUUUUAAAGCUAAUAUGGUUGACCAGCUCUCGUUUGCAACUCGGAGGCAGAAGUGUGUAAUGGUGUCCUUGGAGGAGUGGGAACACCAGCCUCACUGGUUGAUGCUGGGAGACCAGCUGGAAGGGUGAAUUGAGGGCAGACUUGGCAGGAGAUGGGAAGGGAGAGGCAUGAACACAAGCUAAGGCGUAAGAGCUUUAUAUCCUACAGACAAGAGAAGCCACUGAUGACUGCGGACAGAGGGAAGGCUGAGGAAAAGGGGAGUGCUCCAGGACGGGUCACACAUGAGAUAGGUGGCAGAACAAGACGGAUUCUCUGGUUUCUUCCAACCUCGGGAUUGUGUGCAGAUGACAGUACUUGGGGAUAGUCUGCGGUAUGGCAUAGAGGGGGUGAGACUGGAAUUAGGGAUGUUCCCAAGGCAGUUGCUGACAGGAGAUGCCGCAGAGGGGCUGGCAGGAAGGAGGGAAGGAGGCCUGGGAUGACACUGGAAAAGAACUAUCGCUUUGGUGACGAGCUGCGGCAGAGCGAGCGUCUGUACCUCUGAGAUGGGAUGGUUCCACUGAUGGAAAGUAGCGGUGGAACUGGUUUGAAAGGGGGGAUGAAUUCUCCCCCUGGGACACAAGGGGGCAGCAUUCAAAGGAGUGGGGCUGGAGCUCAAGUGGGGCCAUGGUACUCCCUUAGCCUCUCUGAACAGGGUUGGGGAAAAUAGCCUCCGAAGUCAUGGACAAUUCUACAGCUUGCCGAUUCCAGUAGGAAGGUCAGGACUCGAAGUGCAGACUCCGCAGUGACGGAAACUCACAGUUCUUAGUGACCUCGUAGAGUCCCGAGCAUAAGCUCUGACCCAAAGCAGGGAUCUCCUUUCCAGACGUUCUGAAAGACGGCCAUUCACCUUGGAUACUUUUUACUCCGGCACCUUACAAGCUCUUAAGGACAUCAAGUUCGUUUCCAGGUGCCUUUAACAUAAAACGAUUCCUUUCAGGGGGGCUGAAAAGGACUCCCCUGUAGGUUCAAGCCACAGGUUGUAGUAUUUCUGCUUGCAGGUGACACAGCUAAGAAGAACACAGCUGGGCUGGAAAACAGCAUGGCCGAGGUCAUUUUCCUUGGCCACACUCUAAAAAGUGGCCCUCCUCCUGUCUGCUUCUUCUUCUACAAGUGAUAUGUUAAAAUGACAGCAGUGUUAAGAAUGAUGAAAACAGGUUGGGGGAACCAGCAUGACCAUGAGACAGAGAAAGAAAAGAGUCAGAAGUUGUAGAGUCUUGUAUCUUCUCCCUCUCCUUUAAUCACUGGUGGGGAACAUGCCCCUUCCCCAGGCUGACUUCCCAGAUGAUGGAAUUGGGCUCUGAAAUGAAGCCUAAUCCCUUUUACCCAGAACAGACUAUCCACAAUUUUACUAUCACGGUCGUUGUGAACCUUACUUUUCCAAAUUAACUAUCUCCACGUAUAAUAUUGCUGAGGUUCCGAGCUUGGAUGAGAUCCCAAAAGGAGAGAGAAUAAAAAGGAGGCCCCAGGCCUCAAAUUCACAUAAAAGUGACUUGUUUAUACACAAGCUCAUUGGCUUCCUUCUUCCUCCUCCCACAGCACCAUGCACGUGCGUGAGCGCGCGCACACACACACACACACACACAUAAUGGCUUUGUUUAAAACAAGAAUUUACUAAACAAACACGGGUUUGACCAAGUUUAAAUCUCCAAAGUAAGCAGCUGAAGCAUUUUAAUUACCACACCCCUUUUCAAAAUAUUUUUCA